rnacentral:rRNA from 1 species
CCCUUAGAUGUCCUGGGCCGCACGCGCGUUACACUGAUGCAUUCAACGAGCUUAUGACCUUGGCCGAGAGGCCUGGGCAAUCUUGUUAACGUGCAUCGUGAUAGGGAUAGAUUAUUGAAAUUAUUAAUCUUGAACGAGGAAUUCCUAGUAAACGCAGAUCAUCAAUCUGCAUUGAUUACGUCCCUGCCCUUUGUACACACCGCCCGUCGCACCUACCGAUUGGAUGGUCCGGUGAAGCCUCGGGAUUGUGGCUCUUGCCGCUUUAUUGUGGCGUGACCGCGAGAACUUGUCUAAACCUUAUCAUCUAGAGGAAGGUGAAGUCGUAACA